UAGGGAAUUUUCCACAAUGGGCGAAAGCCUGAUGGAGCAACGCCGCGUGCAGGAUGAAUGCCUUCGGGUUGUAAACUGCUUUUAUAUGUGACGAAUAUGACGGUAGCAGAUGAAUAAGGAUCGGCUAACUCCGUGCCAGCAGCCGCGGUCAUACGGAGGAUCCAAGCGUUAUCCGGAAUUACUGGGCGUAAAGAGUUGCGUAGGUGGCAUAGUAUGUCUGUAGUGAAAGCGUAGGGCUCAACCCUAUACACAUUAUAGAAACUGCUAAGCUAGAGGACGAGAGAGGUUAUUGGAAUUCCCAGUGUAGGAGUGAAAUCCGUAGAUAUUGGGAGGAACACCGAUGGCGUAGGCAGAUAACUGGCUCGUUCCUGACACUAAGGCACGAAAGCGUGGGGAGCAAACGGGAUUAGAUACCCCCGUAGUCC
rnacentral:rRNA from 1 species